AUGACAAUGAGCAUCCUGGAAGAGGAAGCCAGGAGCUCAGAAAUGUGUUCAUCUCAGCUGGAGACCAACAGGACUAAGACUGUGAAUUUGAGCCCCAAACGGAGGCAAAAAGUUGCCAGCUGCUUCUGGUGUGUGCGUCAGUGGACAAAUGCACGGAAACAGACCUCCCGGGAAGAACUGAUGGAGGUGCUAGUGGAGGGAAGUGAAGGAGGGCCCCUGGCAUUCCUCUGGACAGCUGUGUGGACCUGGAGACAUAUCCGCUGCGGCUGCUGCUGCGGUUGCCCCAUUUGCAACUUCUGUGUCUCAAAGAUGACAGCAAGAACCAGAAUCAUGAAGAAAGGGGUUCCAAUCCACAAGACUGCCCUGGAAAACGAGUACAUUUUUUGAGCCAUGUAGAGGGGAGAAAUGGAAAGUGGCUCUGCCCUCAGAGUGGACUGGCCCCUCCAGAACAUCUCCCUCAGGCCCCACAGCCUCUCCAACAGGGUCUCAUCUGGCUCCUUGUGGUCACCCUCAUCCAACUCCUCCUCAGUCUUUUGGGAGCAAUUUAUCCACAGACAGGGGUUCCCCAGCGCUGGUGUGGGAGCUAUGGUGUGGGCUGUGACAAGCUAGACUUUAAAAUAUAAGCAAAUUGGCCCGGGGCUGUGGCUCACGCCUGUAAUCCCAACACUUUGGGAGGCCGAGGUGGGCGGAUCACCUGAGGUCAGGAGUUUGAGACUAGCCUCUCCAACACCACAAAACCCCAUUUCUACUAAAAAUACAAAAAUAAACUACUUGGGAGGCUGAGGCAGGAGAAUCUCUUGAACCCGGGAGGCAGAGAUUGCAGUGAGCCGAGAUCAUGCCACUGCACUCCAGCCUGGGCGACAAGAGCAAAAUUCCAUCUCAAAAUUAAAUAAAUAAAUAAAUAAGCAAUUUUUUUGCUAGAAAAUUUUGCAUUGGAACAGUACUUCCAAAUUUGAGUUUUCAAACAAACAACAAAAGAACCCAAAACAAAUAAAAAGCCAGUCACCUAAAGGCAACAGGGAACCCUUUUCAUAACUUAAUUCUGAAAACACCCAAUAAAUAAAAUAAUUUUAUUUUAUUGCAUUUUUGUUUUGCUGAAGCACCACUUAAAAUAAAAUAAGCGAACACCUAUUAGCUCUCCUUUAAAAUGUUCUUCUCUGACUUGUCAGUAUGUUUUAGAGAAUGAAAAAUGAGAGAAAGUUAUAUUACUUAGCCAUUGAAAGUUCAUUUAAUAUUUCUAGUUCUUGACAGUAUAAGAAAAAUGAGGAGAGCAAAUCAGAGUAAAUAAAAAUCAUCUACCCAUUCAAAUAUUCAGCA
rnacentral:lncRNA from 1 species